GACGAACGCUGGCGGCGUGCUUAACACAUGCAAGUCGAACGGUGAAGCUCCAGCUUGCUGGAGUGGAUCAGUGGCGAACGGGUGAGUAACACGGGAGCAACCUGCCCCUGACUCUGGAAUAAGCGCUGGAAACGGCGUCUAAUACUGGAUACGAGAAGGAUCCGCAUGGGCACUUUCUGGAAAGUUUUUCGGUUGGGGAUGGGCUCGCGGCCUAUCAGCUUGUUGGUGAGGUAAUGGCUCACCAAGGCGACGACGGGUAGCCGGCCUGAGAGGGCGACCGGCCACACUGGAACUGAGACACGGCCCAGACUCCUACGGGAGGCAGCAGUGGGGAAUAUUGCACAAUGGGCGAAAGCCUGAUGCAGCGACGCCGCGUGAGGGAUGACGGCCUUCGGGUUGUAAACCUCUUUCAGCAGGGAAGAAGCGAAAGUGACGUUACCUGCAGAAGAAGCACCGGCUAACUACGUG
rnacentral:rRNA from 1 species